rnacentral:rRNA from 1 species
CAAACUUGAGAGUUUGAUCCUGGCUCAGAACGAACGCUGGCGGCAUGCCUAAUACAUGCAAGUCGAACGAGAUCUUCGGAUCUAGUGGCGCACGGGUGCGUAACGCGUGGGAAUCUGCCCUUGGGUUCGGAAUAACGUCGGGAAACUGACGCUAAUACCGGAUGAUGACGUAAGUCCAAAGAUUUAUCGCCCAGGGAUGAGCCCGCGUAGGAUUAGCUAGUUGGUGGGGUAAAGGCCUACCAAGGCGACGAUCCUUAGCUG